ACCGCAUUAACGUUUUGCAAGUAAGCAACGAAGACAGCACCAGUUCAUCAGUUUUAAGACUACUUGUAUCACGAAAAAUCAAAUGUGUCUCAAAGGAAAACGUUGCAGCUUGAAAUUGGAGACCGGAUUACUCAUAUGGGCGUAUUUUCAACUUGUCACUAUGGGAGUGUGCGCUCUUACGAUUAUCGUUUUAAUCGAAAGAAAUGUCGGGAAUGAAAACAUGUUUGUGGUCCAUAAUGUUAUAAACAUAUCCUUAGUUCCCCUGACUUUUAUCGGAUUUAAAACAGUAUUCUUUUUAUGUUUACUCUUCGGCGUAACAAAUAAAAAAUCGUCCUUCGUACUACCAUACUUGAUUUUUUACAUCACAGAAACAGUACUGAAAGCUCUUGUCAUUGUAGUUUUGGUUUUUACUCUGACUCCAUACAUUGCCUUAUGUCUACUUCUAACUGUUCUAGACAUUCUGUUCGUUUUUCUGGGUGAAAAAACGCACGCGAAAAUUAAGAAAUAUAACAACGAAAUCCAUGGGAACGUUUGAUAUAAAAAAAACUAUAUUUAA